UACGAAGGGGGCUAGCGUUGCUCGGAAUCACUGGGCGUAAAGAGCACGUAGGCGGACUGUUAAGUCGGUGGUGAAAUCCUGGAGCUCAACUCCAGAACUGCCUUCGAUACUGGGAGUCUCGAGUCCGGGAGAGGUGAGUGGAACUGCGAGUGUAGAGGUGAAAUUCGUAGAUAUUCGCAAGAACACCAGUGGCGAAGGCGGCUCUCUGGCCCGGUACUGACGCUGAGGUGCGAAAGCGUGGGGAGCAAACAGG
rnacentral:rRNA from 1 species